rnacentral:rRNA from 1 species
CCUACGGGAGGCAGCAGUGAGGAAUAUUGGUCAAUGGACGAGAGUCUGAACCAGCAAAGUAGCGUGAAGGAUGACUGCCCUAUGGGUUUUAAACUUCUUUUAUGUGGGAGUAAAAUGUUGCACGUGUGGGAUUUUGUCUGUACCAUAUGAAUAAGGGUCGGCUAACUCCGUGCCAGCAGCCGCGGUAAUACGGAGGAUACGAGCGUUAUCCGGAUUUAUUGGGUUUAAAGGGAGCGUAGGUGGAUUGUUAAGUCAGUUGUGAAAGUUUGCGGCUCAACCGUAAAAUUGCAGUUGAAACUGGCAGUCUGGAGUACAGUAGAGGUGGGCGGAAUUCGUGGUGUAGCGGUGAAAUGCUUAGAUAUCACGAAGAACGCCGAUUGCGAAGGCAGUUCACUGGACUGCAACUGACACUGAGGCUCGAAAGUGUGGGUAUCAAACAGGAUUAGAUACCCGAGUAGUC